rnacentral:rRNA from 1 species
GACACGCUGGCGGCGUGCUUAAAACAUGCAAGUCGAACGGACUUCUCAUGAAGCUUGCGAUUGAGAAGUUAGUGGCGGACGGGUGAGUAACGCGUGGGCAACCUGCCCCUGAGCCCGGGAUAACAGUUCGAAAGGACUGCUAAGACCGGAUAUACUUGCGGUGAAGCAUUUCACUGCAAGGAAAGGGAACGCUCAGGGAUGGGCCCGCGUCCCAUUAGCUAGUUGGUGAGGUAACGGCCCACCAAGGCGACGAUGGGUAGCCGGCCUGAGAGGGUGAACGGCCACACUGGGACUGAGACACGGCCCAGACUCCUACGGGAGGCAGCAGUUGGGAAUCUUCGGCAAUGGGCGCAAGCCUGACCGAGCAACGCCGCGUGAGUGAUGAAGGUUUUCGGAUUGUAAAGCUCUGUCUUCCGGGACGAUAAUGACGGUACCGGAGGAGGAAGCCACGGCUAACUACGUG